rnacentral:rRNA from 1 species
CCGGCGCACGGGUGAGUAACGCGUAUGCAACCUGCCCGUUUCAGCGGGAUAACCCGGAGAAAUCCGGCCUAAUACCGCAUGUGGCCGAGGGAGGCAUCUUCUUUCGGCCAAAGGAGGCGACUCCGGAGACGGAUGGGCAUGCGUGACAUUAGCUUGUUGGCGGGGUAACGGCCCACCAAGGCGACGAUGUCUAGGGGUUCUGAGAGGAAGGUCCCCCACACUGGUACUGAGACACGGACCAGACUCCUACGGAAGGCAGCAG